rnacentral:lncRNA from 1 species
GCAAAGCUUAUUUGGCAGAUUCUUCUUAGUAUUUGGGAUGGAUUAUACCUCUGGGUGGAGGUUACCAUACUCUAGAUGUCAAUGAAGUCUUCUCUUAACUAUGGCAUUGUUGCCUUAAGGAGGAAGGAUUGUGGGAGCCAGUGACUGGGAGAGGUGCAGUGAGCAGGAUGUAAAGUGAAUAAAUAAAAACAAAAACAACAAAUUAAAGUAAAAAGAAAAGGAAGUAUUUGUGGUAGUGAAUUCUCUAAUGGCUCCUGCUCCUAUCACUUCCUUUGAAAGGGCUCCAGAUCCUCAAAAGAAGAUAAGAAUUUCAUUUCUAUGUUUACUACAACAAAACAAAAAAAGCAAAAACUCCAUUCUGAACUCCUACUUGCAGCCAUCAUUUAUAAACAGUGCUGGAGUCCUACCAACUUAAACUUGGAAUUGUCUCCUGAGCUGCGUGUUCUUUCGAACGUCCCUCUCAAUUGCAACUGUCAUCAUGUCUUAUUUGCUUAAAGUUGUACUCCCAACAAGAUUAUUCAGACAGUUUCAGAAAAGGAAAUCUGAGAGACUUUGAGUAGAAAGCCAAGGCUUUUGACUCUGCUCCCUGUCUGAGAAUGAUGCUGCCUUCUACCUGUCUUAGGAGUUCCUCUUGUCCUUUGAUCGGUUCCUUGCUUUACUUCAGAUCUUCAUCAAGGUUGCCUCUAGCUACCCAGCGCAUUCCUUGGACAUUUCUUCACCAUUAAGCUUUACCCAUUACUUUGUUCAUAAGAAAUCUUUCCAUUUAUGCAUUUCUUCAAAUGUAUCUACCCCAGUGCUUGCACACAUCAACCUUCACUGGAAGGAACUGCCCCAAGCUUCCCCAAAUGAGCCCUUCCUGGGAAGAACUGCCCUGAGCUUGCUCUCAUUAGCCCUCAACAGAUGAAACUGCCUACAUUUUUGUUUCAAAUAUUUGCUCAUUUUCUCCUACCCCUUUUAUUUCUCCAUGGUGUUUUUUGUUUGUUUGUUUGUUUGUUGUAUUGGUAUCAUAUGAUACUCUCACCCAUCACAGGCGCCUAUAAAUAUAGCAGGAGCAUUCCUGUUCUAAAAGUCAAAUUAAACCAAGUAAAAGCUCUUUCUAUGAAUCAGGUUCCAUUUCCUUUCAUCAACACUAUAAGACUCCACCUAAGCAUGUAUUCAUGUCCAAAUUUUCUGAAGUGUAUACUCCUUUGAUUAUACUUCCUGAAUAAUUUGUACAAAUUUAUUGUAGAAAAAUUCACAGCAAAGCAAUUCUACUCAUUGUCACAACCUGUAGAUGAAUCUCAUAUGUAAGGGUACACAGGUUCCCAUUCCUUUAGUAUUACAUCCUUGUCUCUCAAUAUUUCUCUUAGGAACUCACCAUUCUGCAUCUAGGAUGCUGUAAUUUUGAGCAUACUAUUUUCUCCUUGGGCCUAUACAACAUGCACAAGAUUUGCACUUUCCUGUAUACAAUGAACAAAAUUAGACCAUUGUUUCCAUUGUAUUUUUGAGAAGAAAAAAUAAGUGAGUGCUUGUGUUUCAAAUACCUAGGGCAGUUCCUGGAACAUAAUAAGCACUCAAUAAAAAUAGCUGUUGGUUAUUGCUUUUGCCAUUCCUUUUCAGACCCUGUCUGCCUGAAAAGCAAUUCUCCAUUAGACUCACUUGUGAGACAAUCUUCUUGGUGAGGUACCCAGCUUUACUCCUGUUCUAUCUUACUCUGCCAGGCUCAACUCUGCCAAUGCCCUUGUCACUGGAUGUUGGCAAGAGGUUUAUUUGUUGUUACAAAUACCUGUGCAAACUGCAUGUUGGCAUAGCUUCAUAUUUUUCUGACUAGGUAUACUUCAGAAGGGAAUUUAGGAGCUUACCCACAAUUUAAACCAAUUCAUGGCCUGGCUUGCAAUCUAUCAGCAGAACUUCUAGAAAAUCCAUCUAUCCUGCUAUGCAAGUCCAAAUUGAAGUAGGUUCCUCUUCCAUUUCUCCAUCUUCUCUGCCACCGAGACAUCCCAAGCAGAUGCAGCAUUUCAUAGAUAAAUUAUCUAAAUGAAUGGCAAUUAAGUCAACAUUAAAUAAAAUCAAUAUUUCAAUCAAUCAGAAUAUUAAAAAGGCCAGGCCUGCUGGUUCUCAGGAAGGCAGAACCAGGCUAACAUCCUAGUACAAAAGCUACACAUGGAGACCCUGUC